CAUUGGCUGUCGUCAGCUCGUGUCGUGAGAUGUUCGGGUUAAGUCCCGCAACGAGCGCAACCCUUAUCAUUAGUUACCAGCGAGUCAUGUCGGGGACUCUAAUGAGACUGCCCGGGUUAACCGGGAGGAAGUGGGGAUGACGUCAAGUCCUCAUGGCCCUUAUGUCCAGGGCUACACACGUGCUACAAUGGGCGGUACAGAGUGUCGCAAUACCGCGAGGUAGAGCCAAUCACAAAAACCGCUCUCAGUUCGGAUUGGAGUCUGCAACUCGACUCCAUGAAGCUGGAAUCGCUAGUAAUCGCGGAUCAGCACGCCGCGGUGAAUACGUUCCCGGGCCUU
rnacentral:rRNA from 1 species